CCUGACUGCUAUCGGAUUGAUACUAAGCCAUGUGAGUCAUUGUAGUAAUACAAGGCAGACGGCUCAGUAACACGUAGUCAAUCUACCCUAUGGACGGGGAUAACCUCGGGAAACUGAGGAUAACACCCGAUAGAUCAUAAUGCCUGGAACGGUUUAUGGUCCAAAUGAUUCGUCGCCGUAGGAUGGGACUGCGGCCUAUCAGCUUGUUGGUGAGGUAAUGGCCCACCAAGGCUAUUACAGGUACGGGCUCUGAGAGGAGAAGCCCGGAGAUGGGUACUGAGACACGGACCCAGGCCCUAUGGGGCGCAGCAGGCGAGAAAACUUUGCAAUGUGCGCAAGCACGACAAGGUUAAUCCGAGUGUUUCCUGUUAAAGGAAUCUUUUGUUUGUCGUAGAACCACUAACGAAUAAGGGGUGGGCAAGUUCUGGUGUCAGCCGCCGCGGUAAAACCAGCACCUCAAGUGGUCAGGAGGAUUAUUGGGCCUAAAGCAUCCGUAGCUUGUUCUAUAAGUUUCCGGUUAAAUCCAUUAGCUCAACUAAUGGGCCGCCGAAAAUACUGUAGAACUAGGGAGUGGGAGAGGUAGACGGUAUUCGGUAGGAAGGGGUAAAAUCCUUUGAUCUAUUGAGGACCACCUGUGGCGAAGGCGGUCUACCAGAACACGUUCGACGGUGAGGGAUGAAAGCUGGGGGAGCAAACCGGAUUAGAUACCCGGGUAGUCCCAGCUGUAAACGAUGCAGACUCGGUGAUGCGUUGGCUUGUGGCCAGUGCAGUGCCGCAGGAAAGCCGUUAAGUUUGCCGCCUGGGAAGUACGUACGCAAGUAUGAAACUUAAAGGAAUUGGCGGGGGAGCACCCACAAGGGGUGAAGCCUGCGGUUC
rnacentral:rRNA from 1 species